rfam:Cricetulus griseus cell line CHO-K1, whole genome shotgun sequence.
CUGAGUGCAUGAUGAUGUAAAGUUAUCCCUGUCUGAAGGGCAAGAGGCCUUUCUGUGUGGAGCGUGGAUAUCUGAAACUCGG